GCACCGGCUAACUCCGUGCCAAGCAGCCGCGGUAAUACGGAGGGUGCGAGCGUUAAUCGGAAUUACUGGGCGUAAAGCGCAUGCAGGUGGUUUGUUAAGUCAGAUGUGAAAAGCCCCGGGGCUCAACCUCGGAAUUGCAUUUGAAACUGGCAAACUAGAGUACUGUAGAGGGGGUAGAAUUUCAGGUGUAGCGGUGAAAUGCGUAGAGAUCUGAAGGAAUACCGGUGGCGAAGGCGGCCCCCUGGACAGAUACUGACACUCAGAUUGCGAAAGCGUGGGGAGCAAACAGGAUUAGAUACCCCUGGUAG
rnacentral:rRNA from 1 species